GGACCACAAAAACACGACUCUCACCAAAAGCGCUUGAUCCGUAAUCGAUCGAUCCGCUCCGAAGCUAUCUCCUAUCGCAGCUCUCGCUUCUAAAUAAUCGCUUACUGAUCCUGAGUCUGUCGGAUCGAAGUAAUAGGUGCUCUUGAUGUUGUUGAAGACCACUAUGGCCCCGGCCACAAUGCCGACGAUGAGCAAUCCCUUGAUCCAAAGCUUCGUCCUCCGAUCGAACAGAGCAGCGAACGCAAGAGAAGCCAAGGCCAGGACACCCAUGUGCGGGCGAACCGCGACGAGCAGCAAGAUCGCCAGUCCCAAGGCCGGCAAGCGCCUGCCGAGGCGCAUUGUUGCCCAAAUCGACAGGGCAAUGGCGAGGAAGACGAUGCCGUCUUUGCCGAUGGCCGACGUCCAAUAAUGCGGCCCUGGCAGGAAGAGGGGCAA
rnacentral:misc_RNA from 1 species